rnacentral:rRNA from 1 species
GGGGACAACAGCUGGGAACGGCUGCUAAUACCGCAUAAGCGCACAGGACCGCAUGGUACGGUGUGAAAAGAUUUAUCGGUGUAAGAUGGACUCGCGUCUGAUUAGUUAGUUGGCGGGGUAACGGCCCACCAAGACAACGAUCAGUAGCCGACUUGAGAGAGUGAUCGGCCACAUUGGGACUGAGACACGGCCCAAACUCCUACGGGAGGCAGCAGUGGGGAAUAUUGCACAAUGGGGGAAACCCUGAUGCAGCGACGCCGCGUGAGCGAAGAAGUAUUUCGGUAUGUAAAGCUCUAUCAGCAAGGAAGAUAAUGACGGUACUUGACUAAGAAGCUCCGGCUAAAUACGUGCCAGCAGCCGCGGUAAUACGUAUGGAGCAAGCGUUAUCCGGAUUUACUGGGUGUAAAGGGAGCGUAGACGGCAUGGCAAGUCUGAUGUGAAAGCCCGGGGCUCAACCCCGGAACUGCAUUGGAAACUGUCGUGCUGGAGUGCAGGAGAGGUAAGCGGAAUUCCUAGUGUAGCGGUGAAAUGCGUAGAUAUUAGGAGGAACACCAGUGGCGAAGGCGGCUUACUGGACUGUAACUGACGUUGAGGCUCGAAAGCGUGGGGAGCAAACAGGAUUAGAUACCCUGGUAGUCCACGCCGUAAACGAUGAA